CGGAGGGUGCGAGCGUUGUCCGGAAUCACUGGGCGUAAAGGGCGCGUAGGCGGCCUGGUAAGUAGGAGGUGAAAUCCUGCGGCUUAACCGCAGGGCUGCCUUCUAAACUGUCAGGCUCGAGCACAGUAGAGGCAGGUGGAAUUCCCGGUGUAGCGGUGGAAUGCGUAGAGAUCGGGAAGAACAUCAGUGGCGAAGGCGGCCUGCUGGGCUGUUGCUGACGCUGAGGCGCGACAGCGUGGGGAGCAAACAGGAUUAGAUACCCUGGUAGUCCACGCCGUAAACGAUGGGCACUAGGCGUCGGGGGGAGCGACCCUCCCGGUGCCGUCGCUAACGCAGUAAGUGCCCCGCCUGGGGAGUACGGCCGCAAGGCUG
rnacentral:rRNA from 1 species